rnacentral:rRNA from 1 species
UACGAAGGGGGCUAGCGUUGUUCGGAAUCACUGGGCGUAAAGGGCGCGUAGGCGGCCGAUCAAGUCGGGGGGUGAAAGCCUGUGGCUCAACCACAGAAUGGCCUUCGAUACUGGUUGGCUCGAGACCGGAAGAGGUGAGUGGAACUGCGAGUGUAGAGGUGAAAUUCGUAGAUAUUCGCAAGAACACCAGUGGCGAAGGCGGCUCACUGGUCCGGUUCUGACGCUGAGGCGCGAAAGCGUGGGGAGCAAACAGG